rnacentral:rRNA from 1 species
AGUGAACGCUGGCGGUAGGCCUAACACAUGCAAGUCGAACGGCAGCACAGUAAGAGCUUGCUCUUACGGGUGGCGAGUGGCGGACGGGUGAGGAAUACAUCGGAAUCUAAUUUUACGGGGGGGAUAACGUAGGGAAACUUACGCUAAUACCGCAUACGACCUACGGGUGAAAGCAGGGGAUCUUCGGACCUUGCGCGACUGAAUGAGACGAUGUCGGAUUAGCUAGUUGGCGGGGUAAAGGCCCACCAAGGCGACGAUCCGUAGCUGGUCUGAGAGGAUGAUCAGCCACACUGGAACUGAGACACGGUCCAGACUCCUACGGGAGGCAGCAGUGGGGAAUAUUGCACAAUGGGCGCAAGCCUGAUCCAGCCAUACCGCGUGGGUGAAGAAGGCCUUCGGGUUGUAAAGCCCUUUUGUUGGGAAAGAAAAGCAGCAGGUUAAUACCCCGCUGUUCUGACGGUACCCAAACAGUAAGCCCCGGCUAACUUCGUG